rnacentral:rRNA from 1 species
CCAGACUCCUACGGGAGGCAGCAGUGGGGAAUAUUGGGCAAUGGGCGAAAGCCUGACCCAGCAACGCCGCGUGAAGGAAGAAGGCUUUCGGGUUGUAAACUUCUUUUGACAGGGAAGAGCAGAAGACGGUACCUGUCGAAUAAGCCACGGCUAACUACGUGCCAGCAGCCGCGGUAAUACGUAGGUGGCAAGCGUUGUCCGGAUUUACUGGGUGUAAAGGGCGCGUAGGCGGUAAUAUAAAUCAGAUGUGAAAGGUGGGGGCUCAACCCCUAGAGUGCAACUGAUACUGUAUAACUUGAGUGUGAGAGAGGGAAGCGGAAUUCCUAGUGUAGCGGUGAAAUGCGUAGAUAUUAGGAGGAACACCAGUGGCGAAGGCGGCUUUCUGGCUCAUAACUGACGCUGAGGCGCGAAAGCGUGGGGGGCAAACAGGAUUAGAUACCCUUGUAG